CAGGACGAAGAAACGGAAAGCCCCCUUGGCGAUAUAAUGCAAACCAACAAGUGAAAAAUACAACCAAGGGUUAAAGAAAAUAUUGACAAAUUUACAUUACUGAUGAACUCAUUCCAAUAGAAGAAAUCAAGGAUGGCAAGCUUCCAAAAGCUGUGGACCUGACAAGGAACUGGUCAUCAAGACGCUUGUUUCCAAGUAGCUUGCUUCAUCGGGUCGAACAGACUUUGCCAUCAAAGACUGCGCUGACACUGCUAUUCUCAAGUGGCAGCAGGACGCACUCUUUCUUAAAGCCUCAAUGACCUGGAGCCCCCUUGCUUGUUGUUAUACGUCUUGGCAGAAACGUCUGUUCGGAUUAAUAUGUCCUUGUCUGAUAUCAGCUUGGAAAAAUGUAGGAGGGAUAGGCAUAUCGCCCUCAUCUCGAGGAGAUUGAUGGGGAACCAUGAUUCCUCCAUGGUCCAAAUACCCUGUACUGGACAAUCCUCCAGAGUUGCCCUCAGCCCGAUAGGCUGACAUCCAUGAAUAUCUGCAACCUUUGAGGGGUCAAAAAGGACUUGCUUUGUUGAGGAUUGCUGUUGCGAGACCACCAUCUAGGGCUCUCUCUGACUUUGCAUGGUUGGAAGCGUCCCCAGUACACCACUUCACAGUUCACUAUGAGUGUCCCCAUGACUUUGACCAAGGUCAGCAAGGAAGUAGAGUUGUUCUGGAGAACUGACUUGAUCAGCUCCUUGGUCUUUCGGAGUUUCUCCUAAAGUAGGAACAGACAUCUUAUCUUGGUGUUCAUUAUCAUUCCCAAAUGCAGAAGUCUCUAGGAUGGUGUGAUGGAGCAUUUGCUCAUUUAUAUCAUGAAGCCUUGCGACUGGAGGUAAUGGAUCGCUGACCACAUGUCCUGGAGAGCUUUCUCUUUGGAUAAGUAAGUCGUCCAAGUAAAAAUGGAUAUGGCUUCCUUUUUCCCUGAGGUGGACGAUGGGAUUGAUGAGGACCUUCAAGGACACCUUGGGAACCCUUGACAGGCCAAAGGGUAGUGCGCUGAACUGAAAAUUUCACCCAUUUACGCAGAAUCUCAGGAAAUGACGGUGUGCCGGCAGAAUGGGGAUGUAUUGUGGGUGUCGGUUAGACCUGGAUCCAAAGGAGGCCUUCUUGAAAUUCUGCCUGGAAGAGCUCCAAGAAGAACGUUUGGUCUCUUGGCGGUAUCUGGAGAGAAUGUGGUUGUCCUUCACAGAUCCUUGUCCGUCCUAUGACAGUAGGCUUCUGGACUGUAAAGCUGCAACUGGUGUGUCGAUUCUUGGGACCUGUAAUAACUCACUAGC